AACAAUGAAAUAAUCUGCGACAGAGAUUAUGGAUUUAUUAUUUAUUAAGCAGGACAGUGAUUUUCAACCAGUGUGCCGUGCCGCGAGAGAUCGUCAGGUGUGCCGUGGGGAAUUUUCUAAUAUCACCUAAUUAACCAUUGUCGGGUGUCUGUGCUGUAAUAAAGUAUCGCAGAUAAUGUUCCCUAAUUUUCGGACUGUAAACCGCGCCUUUUUUCCCAUUUUUCGAUUCUGAGGCUUAUAUAACGGUGCAGCUGAUCAAUGGAUUCUUAAAGCUAACUCUUUAUAAAUCACAAAAACAACUCAUAUGAAUUGAUCCUCUUCAGUCUUACUUUGUACUUGAGGCCUUUUUCGGGAAUCUGUUGAAAAGCGGGAGCACUCGAAGGUCUCUUAAAAAAUCGCCUGACAUCCAUGGCUAAUUAAUGACAGGUAGGCAGGCAUGAUAAUCCACAACGCGUAGGGCCAUGUGUUUACAUACUUCCUGUUUACAUAUUUUCCUGGAUCCGGAUUGGUGUUGCCGCCGCAGCCGCAAGGCACUGAUUGGAGGGUCACAGACCAUAAUAGCAUAGGCCUAUAACAGCGCAGAUGAAAAUGAUUCAGAUUACAGCGUUCAUUUGUUCAACCAUAUGCAACUUUGUUUUAGGUGUUUUAAAAUGAUACCAAAUUUAUUUCCGAUUAUUCCAACGGCAGAAUACAAGGCACAGGGAACUUUGAGCGGCUCGUGGCGUGACAGCCUUUAAAUACCAGCCCAGACGACACGAGCGUCAUUCCACAGAUGAAGACAGUCGGAGACCAUCCAGAGAACUCAUUGCUUCGGUUUGAUUGGUGAGUAAAAGCAAAUCUGAACUCCGUUACUCAGAUGCCUGUGUCUGGCUAUGUUUAUAACUAGCAGUGUUAGCCUUUAGUCAACAUUAAGGCGAGUAUAAGGUGAAUAGACCCAUAGAUACAUAUAUAGAACACUAGAUGUCUCGAACGUCACCACUGGCGGCCAGCUUACCACAGUCAGCUGCUCACCCAUAACAUUGCGUUGGAAGUGGUACACUUUUUAAAUAACCAUAACUUGCUGCAUUUUUAUAAACGCCAGAGAUGUAGUUAUGACACAUUGUAUUUGUUAAUGACCCUGCAUACUUUAAUGACACUGCAAACCGUUUGUAAAUC
rnacentral:lncRNA from 1 species